rnacentral:rRNA from 1 species
GAUGAACGCUAGCUACAGGCUUAACACAUGCAAGUCGAGGGGUAACAAGAGGAAAGCUUGCUUUCCUUGUCGACGACCGGCGCACGGGUGAGUAACGCGUAUCCAACCUGCCCCCAACUAGGGAAUAACCUUGCGAAAGUAAGACUAAUACCCUAUAAUUUCCUCAGAUGCCAUCUGACGAGGAAUAAAGAUUUAUCGGUUGUGGAUGGGGAUGCGUCUGAUUAGCUUGUUGGCGGGGUAACGGCCCACCAAGGCAACGAUCAGUAGGGGUUCUGAGAGGAAGGUCCCCGACAUUGGAACUGAGACACGGUCCAUACUCCUACGGGAGGCAGCAGUGAGGAAUAUUGGUCAAUGGGCGGAAGCCUGAACCAGCCAAGUAGCGUGCAGGAUGACGGCCCUAUGGGUUGUAAACUGCUUUUAUACAGGAAUAAAGUUAGCCACGUGUGGUUAUUUGUAGGUACUGUAUGAAUAAGGACCGGCUAAUUCCGUGCCAGCAGCCGCGGUAA